UAAUUUUCAUACACUCAGCCGAAGCACAUCUUAUCAUCUGUCUCACGACACGAUAACACACUAAGUGCCAUCUGCUGCUCCCCUGUGGAUCUAUCGCCCACAACUGUGCCGUGCCUUCCACUGCAAGCACCGCCGCAGACCCCUUCCCUCCAGCAUUUCCCGCCGCCAUGCAGGCUCACCCUCCAACCUAUGGAACUCACUUGCCGUACGCCCCAGCCGUGGCUCAAGGAACUGACUGGUGUGGGGUUUUCGUGACGAAGAAGGUUCUCCUUAUUGCCACGAUAACCACUGCGGUGGUGAUGCUCGCCUCAUUCAUCAUUCUGUGCGUUGGUAUGGCAAUGGAGUGUAUAGAGAUCACAAGUUGCAACGUGAAAGCAGCAUUCAUCAUCACAGGAGGCUUACUGACUGGCAUUUGUACGAUCUUCUUCGUGGUGAUCUUCGUGUUGCUGUUCAAUAUGAGGAGCGCCGCGCCCACCAGGCCCUUUAUGACACAGCAGCCCUACGCCACCUUCCCAAGUCCGAUGGUGUCCACGAGCACCGUUCAAACAGCGUCCCAUCCUGCACCUUAUGCUCCGCCAAGCACGGGCUACCCUCAGUAUCAGCAGCACCCACAGCCAUCCUUUCCUUAGGCGCCCAUGCCUCUGGCGCCGAUGACCCAGGCGCUCAUGUCCCAGGAGCCCAUGCCUUUCAAACAGACUUGCUGUUUAGUCGAAUAGUAUGAGGGAAUGAUGCCGCAUGAUUGCAACAUGACCACCAAACACUGAUGUGAUAAGAUAGCCAGCGUUGCAACUAGUAGGCAACUCCCCCAUUGUUAAGGGUUACUAAUCUAAUGCUUGGAAAACUUUAUAAACUUGUACAAGUAGACACUUUAUGUACAGUAAGUCCAACUUGUGGUGUCACCCAGUCCUGUGAAUUUCGUGUCUAGAAAUCAAAUAGAAAUCAAUAUAUGGACCUAUCAAAACGUUUGCAAAGACAAAGGACAACUAGUGGUAUGAUUAGUCAAAGGAGUUGCCAGAUAUCCUUUAAUGAAAGGCUUGGGCUCAAUGCCUAUCGACUGUUCAAGGAUCAUUGAGGCAGACAUGUCAGUUUGUGGCCAAUCCUUAGCUGGGGUUGAAGACAAAGUCCCACCAAUCUCACCAAGCAACUGCCUUGGGUCAGAAUGGAAUUCGCGCCAUUACUGCCACGAGCCAACCACUUUACCACGGAACUACCCAGUCCCUGAAUCGUCUCAUUACCCUAACCCCUUCAGUAGCAUGACGUGUUUCCCUAUUCCUUCUGGUGACUAUUUGGUGAUUUUCUACAGCUUCACCAACUCAUGUGGGGGUUAAAAUAGUGAAGACUGUGCCCAUUAAUAUUGUGCCCUUCAUACACCCUUGCUAAUGUCAAUAAAAUGGUCUAAUGGCACACAAAACUCAAGGUAAAAAUGUGUCCCAGUACUGAAAGGGUUAAGUAUUUUAUGAAGUGUGCCGCCAGUAGUUUGAGGAACUGCACCAGUACUGAGCGGAUUAAUCAACGUACUAAUAGCUUGUGGGGCAGAAACUGUGACUUGUACAUCUGAAAAAUCCUUUCAUGCGUUUGUACAAUCUUAAUGUAAUAAAAAUGAAUUCUGAAAUUAAUUUUACAUACAAUCCUCCGAGCAUCACUAGGGGACGCCAACUCAUUUAAGUGACCGCACACAAUUUUGCAGGACAAUGCACAGAACAAUAACUAGAGAAACAAACACACACACACACACCCACACACACACUACUGUUUAUUUCCCUAUUAUUACUGCGAGUGGUGAUAUAAGCCAAACCUUGAUAAAGAAACCUUCAAUACAUAGACUAAACACGCUUUGAAAAAAAAACACUUCACACACGAGAUAACAACACUUUAUCGCACCGUCAGAUAACACUCCUGGGUCGCCCCAUUGCUGCUGCAUCACCUCAGUAAGCUCCGAGGCGCCAUUGCUCCCAACGCACUCCUCGCACCUUACACACAGGCAGAAGGCGCUGAAGGAGAUAGUUAACAAAUAAGUGUCAGCCCUCUUUCGCCUCUUUUCGUGUCCCUUCAUCCCAGUAGCGAAGGAACCACAGCGACAAUGACUCAAAGUGUGAUGAUUCGUGGUCGGUACGUGCCCACCAACAGACCCUUGGGCUUGGUGGCCGCUGCGGUCGUCAUGGGUAUUGUCUCCGGCAUUAACCUGGGCAUCGGCGUCAACACCUACUGCUUCUCCUACGACAGCUAUUGCGAUUACCGCAAGAAGGCGUACAUCAUCUCAGGCUCCUGCUUCGCCGCGUCUUCAUUCUUAUCAUACAGAUAAGAACAAGUGCCAGCCAGCAGCCUUCAAUGCACACUUCCCGCCCAUGCACAUCCAGCACGCCACGCCGCCACUUCCUGCCUUGUAACAGUCCUGUGGUAUAACUCCUGCUGCAAGAUCCUUCAGUCCCCACCCCAGCCAUGGUUCGAGGCACUACGGUGUGUGGAACCCUCGUCACCGGAAGGAUUCUGGGCAUCGCGAGCGGAAUCCUGGUAAUCCUACUCGUCAUCGGCAGCAUCGGGCUCGGGAUGGGUGCGACAUGGGAUUGCUACGAUGAUUAUUACGAAGAUUGUGCGUCAUACUACAGCCUCGUGGUCAACGGCGGCGUGCUGGUGGGAUUCUCGCUGAUCGGCCUCAUAUUUGCCGGAGUGCUGUACUGCCAGUUUAAGGAACAGUCCAUCCUGCCGCACACCACGAAUGUCCCUCACAGCUACGUCAUGCCCGCCAACACAAUAGUGGUCACAUAGUAGUCACUACAUCUGCGAAGCCUUCCCAUCAAAGCUAGUCUCAGCCAACCCCUGGAGCCACGCGCAUACAUAACUAGUUAAUUGUCACUGUGUGUGUGUGUGUGUGUGUGUGUGUGUGUGUGUGUGUGUGUGUGUGUGUGUGUGUGUGUGUGUGUGUGUGUGUGUGUGAAUAAAUUAUAAUUAGAAUGCAAUCCUUUGAGGAGACUUAAGAAAUGAAACUGAAAUAAAACUUAAUGAAAUACCA